rnacentral:rRNA from 1 species
UACAAAGGGAGCAAGCGUUACUCGGAAUUAUUGGGCGUAAAGAGUGCGUAGGCGGUUAUAUAAGUUAAGGGUGAAAGCCUUGAGCUCAACUCAAGAAUUGCUCUUAAUACUGUAUAACUCGAGUAUCAGAAGAGAUAGUGGAAUUCCUAGUGUAGAGGUGAAAUUCGUAGAUAUUAGGAGGAACAUCGGUGGCGAAAGUGACUAUCUAGCUGAAAACUGACGCUGUUGCACGAAAGCGUGGGGAUCAAAC